rnacentral:misc_RNA from 1 species
UCAAACUUGGUCAUUUAGAGGAAGUAAAAGUCGUAACAAGGUUUCCGUAGGUGAACCUGCGGAAGGAUCAUUCACAAUAAGUGUUCAAUGGCACUUUAAAAUCCAUUACCCACCUUGUGUGCACUGUAGGUAAAGGGGUGUGUGGUUCUCCUCCAUCUCUUUAUCAUACUUAUACAUACGUAUUUUUCUCAUAAAUGUCUACAAUUUGAGUACAAAAAACUCGAAUACAACUUUCAACAACGGAUCUCUUGGCUCUCGCAUCGAUGAAGAACGCAGC